CAUGAGGAGUGGGAUUUCUAGGAAAUUCGGCCCAUAAGAGCAGGCCAGUCCAAUUAUCCUGAUGCUCAAAAGAAAAGCAGUUGAAAUACAAUUCCGGAGAUUGGUUAGCUCACUUAGCAGCUCUGUUUAUCUGAGGAUGAUAUGUGGAAGAGAAUGAAAGUUGGAUACCCAUCUCCGAGAAAAAAAACCUCCAGAGUCGGUAAAUCAUCA